UACAGAGGUCUCAAGCGUUGUUCGGAUUCAUUGGGCGUAAAGGGUGCGUAGGCGGCGUGGUAAGUCGGGUGUGAAAUCUCGGAGCUUAACUCCGAAACUGCAUUCGAUACUGCCGUGCUUGAGGACUGGAGAGGAGACUGGAAUUUACGGUGUAGCGGUGAAAUGCGUAGAUAUCGUAAGGAAGACCAGGUGGCGAAGGCGGGUCUCUGGACAGUUCC
rnacentral:rRNA from 1 species